CAGGACGCUUCCUUCGGGAAGCGAGCGUACACAGGUGCUGCAUGGCUGUCGUCAGCUCGUGUCGUGAGAUGUUGGGUUAAGUCCCGCAACGAGCGCAACCCUACCUUUAGUUGCCAUCAGGUAAUGCUGGGGACUCUAAAGGAACUGCCUACGCAAGUAGUGAGGAAGCGGGGAUGACGUCAAAUCAGCACGGCCCUUACGUCCAGGGCUACACACGUGCUACAAUGGCCGAUACAGAGGGCAGCUACCUGGUGACAGGAUGCAAAUCUCCAAAGUCGGUCUCAGUUCGGAUCGGAGUCUGCAACCCGACUCCGUGAAGUUGGAUUCGCUAGUAAUCGCGCAUCAGCCAUGGCGCGGUGAAUACGUUCCCGGGCCUU
rnacentral:rRNA from 1 species